rnacentral:rRNA from 1 species
UACAGAGGUGCCAAGCGUUGUUCGGAUUUACUGGGCGUAAAGCGCACGUAGGCGGAUCGAUCAGUCAGGGGUGAAAUCCCAGAGCUCAACUCUGGAACUGCCUUUGAUACUGUCGAUCUGGAGUAUGGAAGAGGUGAGUGGAAUUCCGAGUGUAGAGGUGAAAUGCGUAGAUAUCUGGAGGAACACCGGUGGCGAAGGCGGCGUCCUGGACCAACACUGACACUGAUGAGCGAGAGCCAGGGGAGCAAACGGG